UAAAAAAGGUAGCAUUCUGUAAAGCGGCAACACCACACGAUGUAAAAAAAAUGGCUACCAGUAUCCAUUUCUACGGGUGCAGAGAAGUGCCAUUAAAUCGUGGUGAUAUUUUCCGAAACUUCUACUAUCGAAGCUCAGAUUGGUGAUACUUAAAAACAACCUUAACUUCAAGUGCCAAGAUUGGAGAUGUUUAGAUUGGAGUGCAAUUAAAGCUAAACCGGCUAAACAUUGAACAGAGAAUGCAGUUUAAUAAAAGCUACCAAGCAACCAUAAUCAGACAAGGAUUUAAAUAUGCCUCACCAAAAGAAAGUGUGAUGUUUCUUCUGGGACUUUCAAUAAGGAUGGAGUCGGUACAAUUGUAUAAUUAAGGAAUAAUUUGGAAUUGUUGAUUUUUAGACAAUGCUGUUCUUUUUUGACAUAGCACAGAAUUUACAACACUUCAACCAGUUUUGACAUCUUAGAGGCAGAGGCUAGAUGCCCACCCCAUUGGCGUUUCCAUAUCUCUGACAUUGUUUGAAAACUUUGUAGGCUGAUUACUUUGCAGCCUGCCCCUGUACCUACACUGACUUUGCAGAGAAUCGGAUAGAUGUGUUGCUGUUGCAGAGGUUUUCUGUAAAUUCAAACAUAUUUUUAAUAUAGUUUCCUUCUUAAAUAGUAAAGGUUUUUGAAAACUUAUAUUGUCUCCAAAUUCUUAUCCAUGUCCAUGUAAUUGUGUUUGAUUUUACGUUGGGGUUUGACUAGUUAGUGAUGAAUAAAUAACAUGAAUAUUAA